UCCUGGUUAACUCAGUUGGUAGGGCGCUCCACUGGAAAUAUAGAGGUCCCUGGUGCGAUUCCAGGAUUAGGCG
rnacentral:tRNA from 1 species